AGGGAGGGAGGGAGGGAAAGUGCUUGCUUUCUGUGCCUCCCUCCCUCCCUCCCUCGCCUUGCCUGUCCCCCAGCCGAGGCUUGAAAACCUUCCGUGGCUGCUGCCUGCGCUGCCGUUUCUUCCUUCUCCGUCCUGGCCAUGCUGGCCAUGCUCCCUUCUUCCCAGAGGCUUCUGAUUGGCUCCUGGAGCCAGGGCAAGGGAGGGUGGGAGGGAAGGAAGAGGGCUUUGCACUCGUCCCCAAGGCUUCAGCUUCUUAAAGACGCCGUGGCCGUAACCUUUACCCUGAGCAGAGAAUUUGGCAAGGGAAUCGCUAAAAGUAAGCAUUUUGCAAGAAACUAAGGCUGGAUCCCAAAGGAACAGCUUCUACCAAAUGCUGACGUAUCUAUUUCCCUACCCGAAUCCAUCAGGCACCAUCUGCAAGUCUCCAUAGAAUUCCUCACAUGGACCUGCCCACCACCAUCUGUGGAAAAUGCACAUCACAAGCUACUUACUAAAAGCCACAAGACAUUCAGCAGUGUGGAAACAAAUGAGUGAGAAGAAGAAGCAAGAUGCUGUUCGGAGGCCACAUUGUAGAUAAUGAUGUUAAUGAUGUUCCCCGUCUAUUAUAAUGUCUCAUUGUCUGCCGGAGAACAUGAAGUCAAUUUCAGAGGUUGUCAGCUUUCAAGAACAUUGAACUCUAUUAUAAAUGUUGUCUCUCUUUCUCUUUCUGUCGCUCUUUCUCUCUCUCCCCCCAGCCCACCCCAUCGUUGAAAAGACAGAGCCUCAUAUACAGUCCCUGAAGAUCCUUCUGUGAUGGAACGCAGGCAUAUUUUAGAAAAUGAUUUAUGACUACAGAGCCCAUUUCGGGGGAAAUGAGAUAGCUCCUAGUUAUGACAUUAUUAGAGGGACCUUCUGUUGAUCUUUUCAAGGAGGAAACAGCUAAGCAAACUGUUUGUUUCCACCUUUCUCCUUCACUAUAGCUUCAUUGCUUUACUUCAAAGAUGCCCAGCAAUAAUCCAUUUAUCAAAAAUUUGACAUGUAAUAAUACUAUUUUUUUAAAAAUGAAAGAGAUUGGAUGUGGGAGAGAGGAGGCAUAACAUAUAAUCUUGCCUUCUUUCUGGAAGAAAAAACUUGGAUUGCAUCUGCAUUGUAGAAUUAAUGUUAUUUGGCAUCUCUUGAACGGCUGCAGUUUGGUGACACACCAGUACUAUUUGGUGUAGAAGGCUAAAACUACAAUUGCCAUGACUCCAUAGCAUUGAGCCAUGGUAGUUAAAGUGGAGUGAAGCUACAUUAAUUCUACAGUGUAGAUGCACUCUUAACUGGGUUGCUCAAUACAUUGCUCUGUUCAAUCAACGACAUGUCCUCAUUUAUUGCUAUAUGAACAAGCCUGGUUGAACCGUCAACAUUGUCCAUUCUCUUCCAGAAUAUCUCAGAGGAGGAGUUUAAAGUAUCUGCUGCUUGGUUUAAAUCACACAUAAACCAGUGGAAACCAGUGGACUGCUCAAUCCAUUCCAUGCAAUGAUUUCUCCAAGGAGCCAAACUAAGACCUAUCUUGGAUAGCUCUCUUAGCACCUGGAAUGGAUCUCCUACCCAAAACGCAGACAACUGAAAGGAAUCCUUCCCAACCAGGCAGCCUCCAGAUGUAUCAGACUACAUCUGCCAUUAUCCUGGCAGGAGUUAUAGGCUGAUAGGAGGUGGAUCAAGGGUGGAAGAAGGCUGACGUUGCUUUAGCUGAGCCAACUAAAGAAACCUAGUCUCAAUUUAAUUUCACAUUUGACCAGGGGGGAAAAGCCGGUAGGAAUGCAUAGAAAUUAUGAAUAAUUAACUCCUCCUGCCCUGCAUUGUUCCCUUAACUCUCUGAUUAAUUGGAGACGGCAAGGAAAGAUUGACCCAUGAAUAUCCGCCACUUCCUUUUAGAAAUCCCACUCUGUCAUUCUCCUUCCCUCAGCUGGGAUGAACUUUAAAACUCUCUGCUGAAAAUAAUGAUUUGGUCUGAGAUUUGGAGCCCUGACUGAAGGUAAAUGAUUCACCUUGACCUUUGCAGUGUAAUUCACUUGGCACACAUAUGUUUUUCCCUACCUUCCCUUCACCCCCCUUCCUCAAUUAAAAAUGGCCUUAGUUGCUUUUGAAAACAACACUACUUUUGUGCACAAAACCGGCUGUUAGGAAUUGUGAGAGUUGAAGUUCAAAACACCUGGAGGGCUGAAGUUUGACCAUGCCUGGGUUCUACUCUGGGAGGACACUGGCAUAGAGUCUUUUCACCCCCUAAUGUAGAUAGACUACGGGUAUUUCUGUAGACUUGUUCAGAAGUAUCUGCACUUGUUCACAAGGCAAUCCUACUUUCCCUGGGCCUAGGGACAGGGAAUAAUACUUACUCUGGCCCUCUCAUCCUUGGCUUAGCACCAAAACUGGCACUGGUUGUCACUUGUCUCAUCCAAUCAUGGUGGUUGGAGCAAUGGAGUGGUUGGAAAAGGAAAGCGGAAAGAGGGAGAGAUUCCUCCUUUCCUCUCUCUCGUGCCACUCUCGUGCUUCAGCGAUUGUCAGUGGAUGUGACAAGGGAUAACUACCCUUAGUUGCAUGCCUGGUGAUUGUUACUAAGCCAAAGGACAUCAGAACAAAAGGUAUGGGUGAAGGUCUGAUUUUGUGCUAUUAGGCAGUGUGGAGUCCACCUGGCUAUUGGAGUGGCUGUUUCCAUACCAUGAGGACAUCCACUACCUGCUGAACCAUCUCUGUGGGUGGACAUAUAAAUCUAAUGGCGCUGAUUUGGAGUACUCCAGUCUUGAACUGCAUUGCUGUAUGUGUCCCAUGUAAAUGGGCCCUAUGUGGUGUUGGAGGCAACAACCCAUCAAAGCAUGUCUAAAAACCCUUGGUUUUCCUUCAGCAAUGAGAUGUCAUGCUGCUUCCACACACAUAUAAUUUUCCAAGGGAAAAAGGAAGGGAAAGAAGGUAUUUUGGGGGGGGGGGUGUUCAGAGGGGCAGACACAGCAACUUUGAAAGAAGUUUUGGUGGUUGAAAAGGCUAUAGAAUAGAAUUCUAAAACCAUUGUGAGUCAUUCUUUCCCCAUCCAUGCUGUAAGCCAGUGGUUCUCAACCAGCAGUGGGUCAUGAGAACGAAAAUCCAGUCCAUGAACGUCCUUCCUCUUUAUUUAUUUAUUUUUAUUAAUUUUAUUUCCACUCCUUUCCACAGAGCUGACCAUUGCAUUGGAUAGACCACAUCAGCUCUAGAUUCUUAAAUAUGGUUUUCUGUGGGCAAGCAGAUGGUGACUACUGGCUGAUGUGGUCUAUCCUAUGCAAUUUUCUGAAUCAGCAACCCAAAUAACCAAAAACUGAUUUGUAACCCUUGUGGUACUAAUGUUAGAGAGUGGUCUCUGGUCAAAGUGGUCCUUGGUUAAAGAGGGCCCUGGACAAAAUGGGCCCUAGUCAAACAAAGGUUGGCAACCAUUGCUGUAGGCCAAGACUGUAAGGCUUGAGAUUGAUUGGAUACUGAAUAAUGAAUUCAUAAAUAUUAAUGGGUCUAUACACCUUCUGUCCCCCAUAUGUACCCUUUGUGUUUCUAAUGGUAUCGUAUUGAAAUUCUCCUUGCCUCUCAGGUGUUAUCAUGGUAGGCCUUAAAGAACCAUCAGUUCAUCAUUAUCUGCUUCCUGCCCCUUGAAAACCGGGGCCUCAUUCCAACAUGAUCUAAAGUUGUAAUAAUAGCAUUUGAUGUGAUUAAUACAAAGACAUGUUCCGUUUUCUGUUUAAGCAGCUUUUGACAAAUAUUAAUAAAUUACUAGCA